rnacentral:misc_RNA from 1 species
GAUGAAGAACGCAGCAAAAUGCGAUAAGUAAUGUGAAUUGCAGAAUUCAGUGAAUCAUCGAAUCUUUGAACGCACAUUGCGCCCGCUGGUAUUCCGGCGGGCAUGCCUGUUCGAGCGUCAUUUCAACCCUCAAGCCCCCGGGUUUGGUGUUGGGGAUCGGCUCUGCCCUUCUGGGCGGUGCCGCCCCCGAAAUACAUUGGCGGUCUCGCUGCAGCCUCCAUUGCGUAGUAGCUAACACCUCGCAACUGGAACGCGGCGCGGCCAUGCCGUAAACCCCAACUUCUGAAUGUUGACCUCGGAUCAGGUAGGAAUACCCGCUGAACUUAAGCAUAUCAAUAAGCGGAGGA